rnacentral:rRNA from 1 species
CUACGGGUUGCUGCAGUGGGGAAUAUUGGACAAUGGGGGAAACCCUGAUCCAGCAAUGCCGCGUGUGUGAAGAAGGCCUGCGGGUUGUAAAGCACUUUCGGUUGGGAGGACUGCUUCUAGCACUAAUAUUGUUGGAAGUUGACGUUACCUUCAGAAGAAGCACCGGCUAACUCCGUGCCAGCAGCCGCGGUAAUACGGAGGGGUGCAAGCGUUAAUCGGAAUUACUGGGCGUAAAGCGCGCGUAGGCGGCUAGAUCAGUCGGGUGUGAAAGCCCCGGGCUUAACCUGGGAACUGCAUCCGAUACUGGCUAGCUUGAGUACAGGAGAGGAGAGUGGAAUUCCACAUGUAGCGGUGAAAUGCGUGGAUAUGUGGAGGAACACCAAUGGCGAAGGCAGCUCUCUGGCCUGAUACUGACGCUGAGGUGCGAAAGCGUGGGGAGCAAACAGGAUUAGAUACCCGCGUAGUC